rnacentral:rRNA from 1 species
AGCGUAGGCGGUCGAUUAAGUUAGAUGUGAAACCCCCGGGCUCAACCUGGGAACUGCAUCCAAAACUGGCAAGCUAGAGUACGGUAGAGGGUGGUGGAAUUUCCUGUGUAGCGGUGAAAUGCGUAGAUAUCGGGAGGAACACCAGUGGCGAAGGCGGUCUACUGGGCACCAACUGACGCUGAGGCUCGAAAGCAUGGGUAGCAAACA